CCACAUCUAAUCUAAUUUAAAAUAUAAAAAAAGAAACCUUCCUAUUAAUAGUGUAAUUAAAUUGUUACAUCUAAUUCGACUGGCUGGUUUUCAACGGAUUGUCAUGUUACUGCGACAUCCCUCCAUCUCCCACUUCAGAAGAACUUUGCAGCCUUUUGAUGACCUUUUUGAUGUCCUAGUCGAGAUAAAUGGGAUUAAUGAGAGUAAUGUAACGAGUAGAAUGAAGUUAUGAAGCGACUGAAAGAUUGAAAAAAAAAAAUCUGACAUAUUCUAGAGCAUAUAGUCUUACUGUCUUACAAGUCAUUCCCUUCCUUCCCGUUACUGCAGAAAUUAAAAUAUAAAAUGAUUGCACUUUGCAAAAAAAAUAUUAGAACCUUAGAUUAAAAGCACAUAUAUUGAACUUACAUGAUGUACGGACUAAGGCUGCAUAACAGGACCUCAUUACAAAAUCUUCGAUUAAAAACACAUAAAAAUGGCAAUUAUAAAAUCUAUAAAAUGUUACCUGUAGUGCUUGGCUUUGUAGAUUCUUGGAGCAAUCAACACCAUCUUUAACAGAUUCAGUCACGAUUUUCUUGUUCGAAUAAAGGAACCAAACCUUUCUUCAACCUGAAAUUAUCAUUAUACCAAUAAAAGAACCAAACUUUGCUUCGAUCUGAAAGUAGUGUAAAUUACAAUAAAAGUUGUUGAUAAUCCAACAAGGAGAACAUACUCAAGAGAAACAAUUCGUAGAUAUUAUAUAUAUUUAUAUAUAUGUAUGUGAAUU
rnacentral:lncRNA from 1 species